GACGAACGCUGGCGGCGUGCUUAACACAUGCAAGUCGAACGGAAAGGCGCGGCGUUUGUGGGGUGCUCGAGUGGCGAACGGGUGAGUAACACGUGAGUAACCUGCCCUUGACUGUGUGAUAACUUCAGGGAACUGGGGCGAAUACCGGAUAGGAGCUCCUGCUGCGUGGGGGGGGUUGGAAAGUUUCGGCGGUUGGGGAUGGACUCGCGGCUUAUCAGCUUGUUGGUGGGGUAGGUGCUUACCAAGGCUUUGACGGGUAGCCGGCCUGAGAGGGUGAACGGCGACAUUGGGACUGCGAUACGGACCAGAAGCCUACGGGAGGCAGCAGUGGGGAAUCUUGCACAAUGGGCGGACGCCUGAUGCAGCAACGUCGCGUGCGGGAUGACGGCCUUCGGGUUGUAAACAGCUUUCGACUGUGACGAAGAGUGCGUGACGGUAAUGGGUCAAGAAGCAACGGCUAACUACGUG
rnacentral:rRNA from 1 species